UAGGCAUCGUCAUUCUCUUUAUGGUCUGCCAUACUUUAAAACUCGUUCCAAACCUCAGUGAAAUAAUUUCGGGAGAUCCGGGUUUGGUGCCGGGUAUGAUUGAAGUAUCUCAUCUUCUUAUUACAAUCAAUUCAAGGAAAUGAAACUCAACAUCAAGUUUUUUUU